rnacentral:rRNA from 1 species
UACGUAGGGGGCUAGCGUUGUCCGGAAUCAUUGGGCGUAAAGAGCGUGUAGGCCGCUCGGUAAGUCCGCUGUAAAAGUCAAAGGCUCAACCUUUGAAUGUCAGUGGAUACUGCCGGGCUAGAGUCCGGAAGAGGCGAGUGGAACUCCUGGUGUAGCGGUGGAAUGCGCAGAUAUCAGGAAGAACACCAACGGCGAAGGCAGCUCGCUGGGACGGUACUGACGCUGAGACGCGAAAGCGUGGGGAGCGAACAGG